UACGUAGGGGGCGAGCGUUGUCCGGAGUUACUGGGCGUAAAGGGCGUGCAGGCGGUGCGGUAAGUUUAGCGUGACAGUCUCCGGCUUAACUGGAGAAGGCCGCUGAAACUGCUGGACUUGAGGGCCAGAGAGGGACAUAGAAUUCCGGGUGGAGUGGUGAAAUGCGUAGAUAUCCGGAGGAAUACCAAAGGCGAAGGCAGUGUCCUGGCUGGCAAC
rnacentral:rRNA from 1 species